CUCGCCGCCGUAGUAGUGGCAGACUUUGUGAAAUGUGCAGAUCUGGACCUGCAGGACCAGGUGGGCUACGUCUCGCCUGCGCUGUGGUUCAACCUGUCCCGGGGAGAGCCUGUGCCCGUCAGCGGCCGUGUGGUGAAGAUAAAGAGACGCAACGAGCCACCUCCCCGCCCGGCGACACAGCUUUCAGAGAGCCAAUCACGCACCGCGUCUCCGCCUUUCGCCGCAGAGCUCCACCUGGAGGGGGUCGUGUCUCCGGACUACAACUGCCAUGGCGUCUUCGACAGUGUCCUCUCUGACCACUUCCGUACUCCUAGGUUGGUGCAGCAGGGAGAUGUGCUCUGUGUUCCCACAGAGGGACACCCUGAGGUCCUAUCCAGCAACACAGAGGGAUUCAGAAGGUCUCAUGACAAACAACUAUCUCUACUUUAUUCCCUAACCAAUUCCUUUUGUCUGAGG